CAGAUGCUCCAGAGGGCCCUGUUUCUGCCUUUGAGCUGCAGAAAGGUAACAAGGAGAAGGCUCCUGAGAGGGGGUGCAGCUAGCACUAAGAGAGAUACAGGGUACACCAAGGCCAGGUCACCAUUCAGAUGAGAACUUGGGACAGACACUGCAAAGGAGAAGCUUCCCACCAUGCAGUCACUCUUGGAGGUGUGAAGAAAUAGGAAAUUGAAAGAGUGGUGGGGAUUGAAGAAGAAAAGAUGGUGUGAACAUCACAUUGACUUCCUGUCUUAGUUCUUAUCUCACCUCCCUUGCAAACUCUUUGUGGGAUUCUUAACGAGUGAUGACUGCCACCCAGCUGGAAGAGUGGAGAGGUCUACACCUCCACUAUGGCCUCAGACAAUGAAAGGUGGCCAAAAAUCUCCACUCAGUACAUUGAUCUUCAAGUAACCACUAACACUCUUACCUAACAAGCAGUUCACCCUCUUUCAGCUUCUUUUUCACUCUUUCCGGGUUCAACUACAUUUACUGUAAAUCCUGAGAAGAGGUAUAAGAAGAACCACAGCGAAGAAAUUGUACUAAGUGGUAUAGUGUCAUUCAGCACCAACAAAUACUUGUUAACCAUCUCCUGUGUGCAAAGAUACCAUGCUGUUCCCUAGGGAUACAAAAAUGAAAAAUCCCACUG